UACGUAGGGGGCAAGCGUUGUCCGGAUUUAUUGGGCGUAAAGAGCGUGUAGGCGGCUAUACAGGUCCGCUGUGAAAACUCGAGGCUCAACCUCGGGACGUCGGUGGAAACCGUAUGGCUAGAGUCCGGAAGAGGAGAGUGGAAUUCCUGGUGUAGCGGUGAAAUGCGCAGAUAUCAGGAAGAACACCCGUGGCGAAGGCGGCCACCUGGACGGUAACUGACGCUGAGACGCGAAAGCGUGGGGAGCAAACAGG
rnacentral:rRNA from 1 species